rnacentral:rRNA from 1 species
AUUGAACGCUGGCGGCAGGCCUAACACAUGCAAGUCGAGCGAGCGGCGGACGGGUGAGUAAUAUAUGGGGGCUGCGCGUUAGAGGGGGAUAACUACUGGAAACGGUAUCUCAUACCGCAUACUAUAGGCUUAUCCAUAUGGGAUUAGCUAGUAGGUGAGGUAAUGGCUCACUUAGGCGACGAUCCCUAGAUGGUCUGAGAGGAUGAUCAGCCACACUGGAACUGAGACACGGUCCAGACUCCUACGGAGGCAGCAGUGGGGAAUAUUGCACAAUGGGCGCAAGCCUGAUGCAGCCAUGCCGCGUGUAUGAAGAAGGCCUUAGGGUUGUAAAGUACUUUCAGUGGGGAGGCGUUACCGACAGAAGAAGCACCGGCUAACUCCGUGCCAGCAGCCGCGGUAAUUC